rnacentral:rRNA from 1 species
GUGAGGAAUAUUGCACAAUGGACGAAAGUCUGAUGCAGCGACGCCGCGUGGGUGACGAAGGCCUUCGGGUCGUAAAACCCUUUUGGCAGGGACGAGUGAGGACGGUACCUGCAGAAUAAGUCUCGGCUAACUACGUGCCAGCAGCCGCGGUAAAACGUAGGAGGCGAGCGUUAUCCGGAUUUACUGGGCGUAAAGCGUGCGUAGGCGGUUGGUCAAGUCAGAUGUUAAAGCCCCUGGCUCAACUGGGGGAGGUCAUUUGAUACUGAUCGGCUUGAGGGUGAGAGAGGAGAGUGGAAUUCCCGGUGUAGCGGUGGAAUGCGUAGAGAUCGGGAGGAACACCAGUGGCGAAAGCGGCUCUCUGGCUCACUUCUGACGCUGAGUGCACGAAAGCGUGGGUAGCAAACGGGAUUAGAAACCCGUGUAGUCC